GCUGGAAGUAGUCCAUUUGUUUAGAGUAUCACAAGUGUGUGUGUGGAAAUGCUCGGAUGAAGAACUGUCAAGUUACCACAGGGAGAUAAACAGGGUUAUCUGAGGCGGAAAGUUAGGCUGAUUCUCUGCUAGGAGGUCUCACAGGAUAUCAUUUCUUUAGUGAUGCUACCGUGGUGUAGGAUUUACUGGUUUCACCUGUCAAUAGCUACACCACAGUCAGUUUUAUAGGUUCAGAGACUAAAUGUGUCACUAUGCUAGAUCCUCAGGCUGGAAUUACACAGCAAGCAGACAUAGACAGGAAACGAAAGAAACUCAACUAUUUUUAGGCUGGUUAUAGUGGAAAAAGAAAAAUUUUAGAAAACAAAUCACUGGGCCAAGUGCAUUAAGAUGGAUAAAUGAGGAUGGAAAAGUUACACUCCAAAGAAACUUAGCUGCCAGUUAAUGUAAAUUUUUUAUCUUAAUUUGAAUAAGAUAUUGCUAAAUAUCAAUAUUCAAGUAUAUCAAAGCAUAACCAAUACACAUGCAUAUAUAUCACAUAUAUGUAUACUAUUUAUAUAGUGUCAUCAUAUUCCUUAUUUAAUAAACUUUCUAAGAGUUCUUACAAGAAAAUUCUUUCUAUAGUUAAAAUAAGGACAUUGCUAAGAAAUUACACAUCAAAUAAUGUCAUACACAGAAUUAUAGAAUAAUGAAAACAUUGAAUGCAUUUAAUUCCAUAUGCCUACUGUUUAUUGAAUUUCUAAUGUACAAUGUCACUGGACAAUAAAUAUGAAAAUAAAUAUGAAAUAGUUCCUAAUCUCCAGAAUUCCAUUGUCUAGGAGAGGAAACACAUGUGCAGUAGACCAUAAUAUAUAGAGAGAACUGAUAUGCGAGUUUAUGUGUAGUGUUUGGAAACCAAAGGAGGUAGAGAGAUUGAUUCUCGCUAUAAUAGGACAGAAUCCUGGUGAUAACAGAAAUGGCAUUUAAUUUAGACUUUAAAGUUUGUCAGUGGUUAAUAGUGUUAGUGGCAAUAUCUCUGUCUAAAGAAUGAAGGAUGAUGUUACAUAAAUGAGCAAGGAGACACACAGGCUGUAAGAGUGAAUGAGGACUAAUACACAGCAGGUAUAUUAGUCUGUUUUCACACUACUGUAAAGAUAUUACCGGAGACUGGGUAAUCUACAAACAAAAGAGGUUUAACUGACUCACAGUUCCACACGGCUGGAGAGGCCUCAGGAAACUUACAAUCAUGGCAGAAGACAAAGGGGCAUGUCUUACAAGGUAGCAGGAGAGAGAGAGCAGGGGAAAUGCCAGAGACUUAUCGAACAACCAGUUCUCAUGAGAACUCCCUCACUAUCAUGAGAACAGCAUGAGGGAAACCGCCCCCAUGAUCCAAUCAUCCCCCACAAAGUCCCCCCCUUGACACAUGGGGAUUACAAUUCGAGAUGAAAUUUGGGUGGGGAUGCAGAGCCAAAUCAUAUCAGUAGGCUAGCCUAGAUACGGAAGGGUUGCAAAUAUUUAAUUAGAAGUUUGGAUAUGGCAUUGGCUAGCUGGGUAAGGCUUUAAACAGAGGAACACAUGUAUGUAAGUGCUUCACAAAAAUAAUGUAGAAAGCAAUGAGGAAGAUAGAAGAGACUAGAGGGAAAUCAGGUAGGAGGGGUUUAGGAGUAAAACAAGAUGGAGAUUAAAGAGAUGCUUAUUUGGAAAGUAAGAGCAGGUAUUUAGAAAUACAAGAGCAGGCAUUUAGAAAUACAGAAAACAGCACAGGGAAGGGACUGGGAGUGAACUUUCAAAUGUUUUUAAACUAUCCUCCGUUCCAGAGUUUCAUAUUCUUUUGUGACCCCCUCACUGAAUUUCUUUGAUUUUUUUCUUAUCUAGUAUAGCAUUAUAUUGCAAAGCCUACUGCAUUAUUUCUUCUUUCAUUUUGGAUCGUUGGUCCUUGACUUGUGGUUAUUAACCCAGAAAUGAUUCUCUCAGAAGAGGCUCAGUUGCUGGUGUUAUCUCGGCUUCCUUGCAGUGGCCUGUGUCAAGGGAAUUUGUUUGAAAAGUAAAAAGUGUAUCUCUGUGCUUUUGGCAACCAGAAUCAAAACUCUAUCUUUCUUUGCUACACUUAACACCCUUUUAACUUCUCCGAUCAUUCUAACCAGUUCAGCUUCUGUUUUCUCUGUAUUGAAAGUGCAUGAAUCCAUGUCAUUGUAUCCUGGCCUCUUGACUAAAAUUACCAAUACAGCAUCAGGGCAACACUCCUAACUAUUCUGUUGUUGCUUAAAUAUUACAGAAAAAAAUUAAAUGGUCUAUAGCAUUUGACUUUCAUCUCUUUUAUGUAAAUAUGUAUUAGGUUUAUUUAGAAAUCUUAAAUUAGUUUCUUACAAAUACUUUUUGCCCCCUUCUAACAAAUUUAGGAUAAGCAAUACUUGGUAGUUUUUUGUGUCAUGAAUUAAUGGUAUACCAACAUAAAUAAAUCUUGUAAUAUUAAUUUUAUUAAGUAGGAGGUUAUGUUCUCAGUCUGUUUUUGUCUAAGAAAACAUAUAAAAUUGUAAAUGACUUGCUAGAAAAUUAAGAAAAAAUGUUUCUGAGUAUCCUCACAACUUACAGCUCUUUAAACGUAAAAUUAAAAUUAUUUUCCUCUAUUCUCAUGUUGCAUUUUGCAGAAAAAAUUCAUAUUAAUGCUGAUGAUAGUCCUUAUAAGUGUUACUUUUUAAUAUAAAUCUCAGUAUUAAAGAGAAAACUGGAGUUCUUAAAUAACUUAAAAUGCAAAGUAAGCAAAAAGAGCAUUUAAAUUACUAGAACUUCUUUAAAAUACAUUUUUUCUUAUGUUCUAAGUUCAUUUGCUUUGAUAUUGUUUAUACAUUUUUUGUUUGUGAAUUUUUGUUGUUAUUUGUAAUUAAGUUUAAAUUUUAAAAUCUUGAAAUAAUUUUUGCCCUUUUAUGAUAUACAGUGUAGUUUCUAUGCAGAUUAUCAUUGGAGUCUGCGUUAAAUUCAAAAUAUAUUCACACUAUUUCUUCAACUGAGUCUUUGAUAAGUUUAAGUACACUAAGUUUGUUUUACUAAAAGUGUUCACUUCUGAAUUAUAGUAACUUAAAAUACACAUCGCAGCUCUCUUUUGGAAAACGAUUGUGUAAUAAUUUAAACAAUGUAAGAGUUGAACAGUACAGCACAUGCUUUGCUUAUGUGCUGCAAACAGAUACAGGUUUCAAAUGAGCUUCAUUCUUCUGCACAAAAAAUGUUUAAAAUGUACAUGAUACUUGCAUUUGGCUAAAGAAAUCAUGAUGAAACUUCAAGGAAGAAGCAUGGACAGCCUACUUGCUCAUUAGUAUAGUGUGUACAAGCAGAUGAGAUUUUCAAUAUAUACAACUCACUAGACAACUACAUUUGUUUUUAGGUUCAAUGGUAAAUGGAUGGGGCUCUGCAUCUGAUGAGGAUCGUAACUUUUCUAGUCAUAGAUCUAGUGUAGGUAGCUCCUCAGAUGGCUCUAUCUUUGCCAGCGGCAGUUUUGCACAAGCACUGGUGGCAGCAGCAGAUAAAGCUGGUUUUAGGCUGGAUGGAACCAGCCUUACAAGAACAGGUUGGUAGACUCCAAGUCAACACUCUUUGCAUGAGAGAAUCUUGUCCUUGGACACUGACCUUUUUUCUCCUGUUCUUUCUCCUUAGUGAGUCUGACUGUAGGGCUUUCUUUAAUACGCAUGAAUACAGUUUGGAUGCUCCAUUACCCAAACUCUCUUCUGAUGCUAGUUUUGCAGAGCCAAGAAUAGACUCCUCCUCACCACUUUCUCUUAUUUUCCUUUCUCUUCACGGCUUUGCUGAUUAAUUGGAAUAUGCUUCCUUUUUAUAUUACGGCAAAGCAGCAACUAAGAUUGCCAUUAAAUUUUUAAUAACUCACAUUUUGCAAAAUCCUCAUACAAUUAAUAAUGUACCCAGUGAUUAAAAUUACUCAGCUUUUAUCUCCGUUACUUUCCUUUGCCUCAUCUCUUUCUGCAAAUGCAUUUUCUGGGAAGGUUUCCUUAGCAUGGGGUGAAUGGGUCUAAGGUUGUCGGUCUUACCAGUUCAAAUAGCUUAUGAUCUUAUUAAUUGUUUGGCUAGUAAGAUUUUAAUACAAUAAUUUAUUAUUUGUCUUAAAGGAUGCUAAUUAAAGAUACACCCACUGCAUUUGCAAGUUGAAUAAAAUAAUGACUACAUGUGUAUUUCUCUUUAGAAUAAUUUAAUUUUGAUUUCUGAGAGUGAUAAGUAAUCAUAUAAAAGAACAAUUGUAUAAUUUUUCAAGUGCUGCUCAUUCCACAAAAAAGAAUGUGGGAUUAAUAAUAGAUCAGUAAUUUGUAAACUUUUGCAACAAAAUAACUUAGGCAUGAUGCGUGCUUUUACAUUUGUAUGUAUAAUUCUUAACUAUACAUAUAAGAAUAUUCUAAUAUAUGAAUUAAACUGAAUUACCUUGCAAAGCAAACUAAUAAAACAUUAAGUACAUUUGCAAAAUCUUAACUGUAAUCAAAUAGUAAAGAAAAAAGAUUUUUACCCUUCACUAAACUCUCAGGUUAUAAAAAUGAGUCUUGGAAGUUUUCUUGGAAUUAUACCAUCAAUAUUUCUUUUGAGCAUACAUUAGCUAUCUUUAAAUGAAAUAAAAAAGAUCUUCUAAGCAUUGCAGAGGUUUAUUUUUCAAAUAGCAUCCAAACUAAAAUACGUUGUAAUAGAACUGUUAUUUGAAUUGUCUUGCAUUAUAAGGCAUAAGUCUGAAACUUUAUGUUGCUUGAGUGCUUUUUGCAGCAUUAGCUGUAAACAGAGCAGUGAGAACAUGCAAGGAAACUAAUACAUUAGAAGGCACAAGUGCAUUUCCUGCAUCUAUGCUAAUAGCUAACACAGCAUUAAGUAAUAUCAUAUCACGUCGACGUAAGAAAAUGUAACUACAUAUAAUAAUGUUGUAUGAAAUGAAAACAUACACAGGAGAAUAAAUGCAUGCACAUAAACCAGGCCUCUGUUACUAUAAUAAACAUGGUAUUGAAAUCACAAGUUGUUGAAAAUUUAUUAGCUAACCUUUUCCCAGAAUAAAUUUCCCUGUAUACCUACUCUAAACCACAAGAAAAGGACACAGCACAUAUCAUUUUUCAAUGAGAAUUUGGAGCCUGCUCAGAUACAAUAAUAUUAAUCAGAAAAUACCUAUUGCAUGCUGGAUAUACAAGGUGAUUUUAACCUGCUAUCCUCUACACAGAUGUUGUUGAGUUUCUGCCAAAAGAGAUAGAAUUCAUUGUGUAUGUGGAUAAGUGGUAAGGUCAAUUUAAUGUAUGUGUCUGAGCAGACCUUUCAUGUAAAAUUUCAGAUGUAAUUACUACAUGACAUUUUUCUGUGUUCAGAGAGAUUUUGUAAGUUUCCAAGGAUGAAAUUUUAUUAAACAAAUACAACAGUAUAUACUUCAUAAAUAGCUUCUUUAAUUUUAAGAACUAAAAACUGCAUGAAUUUGCAUAUAUCUUUGACAAUAUCAAUAAUAUUGUCAAGGUUAAAUAAAAGUAUAAUCAUGCAAUAUUGAGUUUUGGAUUGGUGGAUCUGUUUUAUGUUCAUUUGUCUGAUUUUGAGGGGGCCAGUGGGGGUGUUGUUAGCUUAUUAAAAAUUGAACAAAAUAUGUGCAGCUGAGAAUGUAGAAAAUACAUUUUUCUACAGAGAUGCACCAAUAUUUGGUAUCUUCAUAUGUUAUCUCUAGGUAGAUUUACAGGUUAGUCAUAGUGCAGAAAUAUAGGACAGAAUCAGUGUGCUAUAAUGACAUUCUCUAGAACCCAUUCCCUUUAUUUUCAUUUUAGGAAAAGCCUUUACCUCCUCUCAAAGACCUCGACCUACCAGCCCAUUUUCUACUGACAGUAACACCAGUGCAGCCCUGAGUCAAAGUCAGAGGCCUCGGCCCACUAAAAAACACAAGGGAGGGCGGAUGGACCAACAACCAGCAUUGCCUCAUCGAAGGGAAGGAAUGACAGAUGAGGAGGCCUUGGUGCCCUAUAGCAAGCCCAGUUUCCCAUCUCCAGGUGGCCACAGCUCAUCAGGAACAGCUUCUUCUAAGGGAUCCACUGGACCUAGGAAAACCGAGGUGUUGAGAGCAGGCCACCAGCGCAAUGCCAGCGACCUUCUUGACAUAGGAUAUAUGGGCUCCAACAGUCAAGGACAGUUUACAGGUGAAUUAUAGUAAAUGAGAGGAGACAUACAAAGCUGCUCUGAAGGACCAUCAGGUCCGGACUCAUGGAAGUGAUGACUCUAAACAGUGCAAUGAACAAUUUAUUUAUGUACUAUUAAAAGAACUGUAAAUGCAAUGUAAAGACACACAGCCACACAUAUCCCACAGAUAUUUUCAUUGUGUUCUUCUCCUAAGUACACCACCCACCUUAACUCUUUCUUGUCAGGAGUAUAUAAAAAAGAAAGAAAACAAAACUCGCCCUACAGGAAGAAAAGGAUUCUCCUCUGUAUAUAAUUUCUUUUGUGCAUUGCUAUGCAAGCUCACUCUUUUUAGCUCUGCUCAUAUUAUUGUCUGUUCUUAUUGGUCUGUUGUACUAUAUGUGAAUUAAUAGGCUGUGGUGCCAUAUAUUAACUUUUAAUUGUGUAACUUUUAUGUUUAAAUUUUGCACUGCAAUUUUAUUUGGUGAUAAGCACAAAUCUCUACUCCUCAUGACAUGAAGAAAAAGACUGAAUGUGAAGGGAGUUUCUGUACUGUAAGCUAGAUUGGAUAAUGAUGGCUGUAACAAAUCAUGUUAGAUGGUUUUCAGUUGGGGUGUAGAAAUAGGAAGAUGCAAAGGAACAAUGGUGUUGGCAAAGUCUUCUUUGAAUAUCAGGGACUGAGUCAAUAAAAAAAAUAGUAGAAAGGUGGCUUUUACUAUUGACAAAAGCAGGGGUCAAAAAAAAGUAGUCUAAGUCUUAAGACUGAAUAUGCAUUAAAGUAUGCAGGUAGCAAAGAUGUAAUAAAUUUGCUUAAAAAAAGAAAUUAAAGUUUUAUUUAGAAUCAAUUUUACCUGUCAUUGUAAUUGACCCAUCUGAGAAUUACAAUAAGCAAGAGGAAAUUAAGGUGUUUUGCAAGAGCUGUAUUUAUAUUACAGUUUUUUAAAAACAUUUUCUGAAUUAUCAUAAUUAAGCUCUCCAACUCAUUAAGUCAGAAUAUAAUAUGAAGUUCCCCAAGGAAAUGAACAAAAUGAACUCUAGAAUAUCUAGCAAAUAGUUAAAGAAGCAAUUUAUUAUUAGGCAUACUCGGGCUGUUUCCAAAUAUAAACUCUAUUGCAAUAUCUUAUUUCAUCUUUCUAAUACAUGUACAGUGCACACUAGAGGAUAGAGCUGCAUCACUUAAAUUCAUGACUUAAAAAAUAAUACAGUUUAUAUACAAUUUGUUUUUUAUUUGAUUAAGAAGUGAAGUUUAUGCCACCCAAUGUAUAGCCAAAUUGUACGUGCUUAAAAAGCAGUGCCGAGAGUAUGUUCAGUUCACAGUAAGUAGACUUAUUGGAAUAAAUAUUCUAUGGUACAUUCUCAGAAAUUGGCUUCCAACUAAAAUACGUUUGACCCAUUUUGAAUAAGGAAAUUGAAAAGAAAAAUUUAAAAGGAGAAAAAAUUGCAUGUUUAUAAACUUUUUAAAUAAAACCAGACCUUGUAAGUGGACAUUAAUAAUUGUCCUGCCUCAUUUGUUUUCACGACUUUGACAACAAGAAGUUCCUGAACAUUAGUCAUGUAUGCUCAGAAUAAAUGUGACUUUGAAAUAUAUGUUAGCUACUGUACAUGUAUAGUCAGUCAAGUAGAAGAGGACCUUCCUGAAAUUCCCACUUGUGACAUUUUCCCAUGGGUUUCCUACACAAUCUUAAAUUUUAUUUCUGUCUAUACUUUCUCAAAUUUUUCCUAUGAUAAGUUCAGUUGUUGGUACUCUUCUAAAAAUAUUCAACGUGAUUAGGAUCAGUUCUAAAAUAUGGGACCCCUUUGAGUGACAAUUCGCACUCCAUGCAUUAUUGGCUCAGUAGCCAAUUUUUGUCACGUCGUUAUAACAAGGAGAUGACAUAAUUAAACAUUUCCAUCGUUUCUAUUCCCUGGGACUGCAUCAGCACAGGCAAGUAUAGAAUGUAAUGUUCUUCAUGGGCCCCACCAGCUUUUUGGUGCCAUGUAAUUUAUUUCUUCGCUGAAGAGAAAAAGAAUUCUGAGACACAGUUAUUAAACCCUUUAUCAACUUUCUACCAUCAGUGCCUGAAUUCUAAUGCAGUGUGAUUUCUCUGGGACAAAGAGACUGAGGAAGAUGAAAAGUUUCUUCAAAGAGUGAAUACAUACUUAUUCACAACUCUAGGAUGUGAGGACUUUAAAUAUCUCUUUAUGAAGUUCCCUGCCUAACCUCUUUCUAUUUAAAGGCAAACAAAUUUCGAAGAGGUUUUGUGUUCCCUCUUUAUGUUUCUCUAUGACCCAGUUUAGUCUAAAACCUUAGUUCAUUACAUAUACAACACAUAGCCUUUGAUCCCUGGUAACUGGCAGGUGUUGGUGAUUAAUAAACCAAGGCUUCAAAGUGAAGUAUGUGUGUGCAGAUGACUUUUAGAAUAACGUGGGCAUAGCAUCAUACCUUCCUGAUUGUCUUCAGCAUAUAAAAAUUAACUGUUGUAGUUAAAAUUAUGUCAGUGCAGAGCUUGUGGUUACUUGGAAUGUUCUUUCAGAAUAGUCCAUGUUGCCUAUUAAACCUAGUUUUAAACACAUUGGGCAGUCAAUUUAUGCACCCAAAAUAUCACCCUCAGGUAGAUUGAGGGCAAGAUAAAAUGCUGUAGCUAUACAAAGGAAUUCAGAAACAUUAUUGGAAAGCAAAGCCUUUGUCAGCUUGCUACUGACAAAGUAGUAAAAAGCUACUAAUCAGUGUGAGUCAGAUGUCAACAGAAAAAUACAAAUACCUAUGAGAGCCACAGCAGUUUCUCAUUUCAUAGCCGAUUCAAUGAAUGUGAUUAGAAAUUCACUGAGCUCACUCUUGCAGGUUUAAACGGAGGCCUGCAUAAGGACUGCAGGAGGAAAUCUGGGUGGGAGAGAAUGUAAUCUGAUCUUGCACUCAUAGGCAAUGCUGCAAUGCAAUCAGGUCCAAUACAAGCACAGCUUCAUUCAUAACAGGAAACGUCUUCUUUGGGAAAAUAGCUCUAUUGGUGCCCAAACUCAGGUAUGCCAGUGUAUGCAGGUGGAGUCGCCCUACCCCUCUUCCAAACAUGUCCUGUGAGAUUUUUAAAAUAAGAUGGGAUAGUACAGGGGCAUGAAAAGAAUUGAUUCCUUCACAGGAUUUGAAUCCAGUUCAAGGGAGAAUGUAGAAAAUUCAAAACCAACAUAUAAGGUAUCACACAACCAAGAAAAGUAAAAUCAUUGCAAGUUUACUUGCGUUGAGUACAAAACAGAUUUAAUGGUGUUCUAUGUCAUAGUUUAAUGCUCUGGGUAUUUAAAUAUGUUUUCAACAGGAUUUGAGUUGAAAGUUUGUAAUGUGCUUUGAUGGAACACCUCUCAAUUUCUAUUCAAUAAAUUUAUGUAAUUGUCCAUUGACAAUAUAAUGAUAACAGUACCAUUGAACUCUAAACUGUGGUUUAUCUUCACUGCUGGGAAGCAACUGUGCAUCAGUAUUAAAGAUAUGCAGAAACAUAAUAUUCA
rnacentral:sRNA from 1 species